rnacentral:rRNA from 1 species
UGGGGAAUAUUGGGCAAUGGGCGGCAAGCCUGACCCAGCAACGCCGCGUGAAGGAAGAAGGCUUUCGGGUUUGUAAACUUCUUUUAAGAGGGACGAAGGAAGUGACGGUACCUCUUGAAUAAGCCACGGCUAACUACGUGCC